rnacentral:rRNA from 1 species
GAUCCUGGCUCAGGACGAACGCUAGCUACAGGCUUAACACAUGCAAGUCGAGGGCAGCAUGGUCUUAGCUUGCUAAGGCCGAUGGCGACCGGCGCACGGGUGAGUAACACGUAUCCAACCUGCCGUCUACUCUUGGACAGCCUUCUGAAAGGAAGAUUAAUACAAGAUGGCAUCAUGAGUCCGCAUGUUCACAUGAUUAAAGGUAUUCCGGUAGACGAUGGGGAUGCCG